AGAGUCGAUUGGGCAGUCGCUGUCGCGCAAUAGCGCGGUGGAGGAAAGUCCGGGCUCCAUAGGGCAGAGUGCCAGGUAACGCCUGGGAGGCGCGAGCCUACGGAAAGUGCCACAGAAAAUAACCGCCUAAGCGCAGCAGCGCCGGUAAGGGUGAAAAGGUGCGGUAAGAGCGCACCGCACGGCUGGCAACAGUGCGUGGCUAGGUAAACCCCACUCGGAGCAAGACCAAAUAGGAAUCCAUUGGCGCGGCCCGCGUUGGAUUCGGGUAGGUCGCUUGAGGCGUACAGUGAUGUGCGUCCCAGAGGAAUGGCUGUCCUCGACAGAACCCGGCUUAUAGAUCGACUCUCCCA
rnacentral:RNase_P_RNA from 3 species